rnacentral:rRNA from 1 species
CCUACGGGAGGCAGCAGUGGGGAAUAUUGCGCAAUGGGCGAAAGCCUGACGCAGCGACGCCGCGUGAGGGAUGAAGGUCUUCGGAUCGUAAACCUCUGUCAGUAGGGAAGAACGGUCACUGUGCUAAUCAGCAGUGAAUUGACGGUACCUGCAAAGGAAGCACCGGCUAACUCCGUGCCAGCAGCCGCGGUAAUACGGUGGGUGCGAGCGUUAAUCGGAAUUACUGGGCGUAAAGCGCUCGUAGGCGGUAUGUCAAGUCAAGGGUGAAAUCCCCGGGCUCAACGUGGGAACUGCCUUUGAAACUGGCAGACUGGAGUGUGUGAGAGGAUAGUGGAAUUCCGGGUGUAGGAGUGAAAUCCGUAGAUAUCUGGAGGAACAUCAGUGGCGAAGGCGACUAUCUGGCACAUAACUGACGCUGAGGAGCGAAAGCGUGGGUAGCAAACAGGAUUAGAUACCCGGGUAGUC